GCUGGACACGGUGGUGCGAGCCUGUAUUACAGCUACUGGGGAGGCUGAGACAGGAGGAUUGCUUGAGUCCAGGAGUUCUGGGCUGUAGUGCGCUAUGCUGAUUGAGUGUCCACACUAAGUUCGGCAUCAAUAUGGUGACCUCCGGGAAGCGGGGGGCCACCAGGUUACCUAAGGCGGGUGAACUGGCCCAGGUCGGAAACAGAGCAGGUCAAAACUCCCGUGCUGAUCAGUAGUGGGAUUGGACCUGUGAAUAGCCACUGCACUCCAGCCUGGGCAACAUAGCAAGACCCCGUCUCUU
rfam:Otolemur garnettii contig106132, whole genome shotgun sequence.